CCUACGGGAGGCUGCAGUGGGGAAUAUUGGACAAUGGGGGGAACCCUGAUCCAGCAAUGCCGCGUGUGUGAAGAAGGCCUUCGGGUUGUAAAGCACUUUCAGUAGGGAGGAAAGGUGCGUAGUUAAUACCUGCGCAAUUGACGUUACCUACAGAAGAAGCACCGGCUAACUCCGUGCCAGCAGCCGCGGUAAUACGGAGGGUGCGAGCGUUAUUCGGAAUUACUGGGCGUAAAGCGCACGCAGGCGGUUGCCCAAGUCAGAUGUGAAAGCCCCGGGCUUAACCUGGGAACUGCAUUUGAAACUGGGCGACUAGAGUAUGAAAGAGGAAAGCGGAAUUUCCAGUGUAGCAGUGAAAUGCGUAGAUAUUGGAAGGAACACCGAUGGCGAAGGCAGCUUUCUGGGUCGAUACUGACGCUCAUGUGCGAAAGCGUGGGGAGCAAACAGGAUUAGAUACCCUGGUAGUC
rnacentral:rRNA from 1 species